UACGUAGGGGGGCAAGCGUUGUCCGGAUUUACUGGGCGUAAAGCGCGCGUAGGCGGGUUGGCAAGUCCGCUGUGAAAGCCCGAGGCUUAACCUCCGGCGGGUCGGUGGAUACUGCCAGUCUUGAAGGUGCUAGGGGGAAAUGGAAUUACCGGUGUAGCGGUGAAAUGCGUAGAUAUCGGUAGGAACACCAGUGGCGAAGGCG
rnacentral:rRNA from 1 species